rnacentral:rRNA from 1 species
UGGGGAAUAUUGCACAAUGGGGGAAACCCUGAUGCAGCGACGCCGCGUGAAGGAAGAAGUAUCUCGGUAUGUAAACUUCUAUCAGCAGGGAAGAAAAUGACGGUACCUGACUAAGAAGCCCCGGCUAACUACGUGCCAGCAGCCGCGGUAAUACGUAGGGGGCAAGCGUUAUCCGGAUUUACUGGGUGUAAAGGGAGCGUAGACGGAAGAGCAAGUCUGAUGUGAAAGGCUGGGGCUUAACCCCAGGACUGCAUUGGAAACUGUUUUUCUAGAGUGCCGGAGAGGUAAGCGGAAUUCCUAGUGUAGCGGUGAAAUGCGUAGAUAUUAGGAGGAACACCAGUGGCGAAGGCGGCUUACUGGACGGUAACUGACGUUGAGGCUCGAAAGCGUGGGGAGCAAA